CAUGGGGGUCUACCAUGCAAGUCGAACGAUGAAGCCGCUUCGGUGGUGGAUUAGUGGCGAACGGGUGAGUAACACGUGGGCAAUCUGCCCUUCACUCUGGGACAAGCCCUGGAAACGGGGUCUAAUACCGGAUAACACUCUGUCCCGCAUGGGACGGGGUUGAAAGCUCCGGCGGUGAAGGAUGAGCCCGCGGCCUAUCAGCUUGUUGGUGGGGUAAUGGCCUACCAAGGCGACGACGGGUAGCCGGCCUGAGAGGGCGACCGGCCACACUGGGACUGAGACACGGCCCAGACUCCUACGGGAGGCAGCAGUGGGGAAUAUUGCACAAUGGGCGAAAGCCUGAUGCAGCGACGCCGCGUGAGGGAUGACGGCCUUCGGGUUGUAAACCUCUUUCAGCAAGGAAGAAGCGAAAGUGACGGUACCUGCAGAAGAAGCGCCGGCUAACUACGGGCCAGCAGCCGCGGUAAUACGUAGGGGGCAAGCGUUUGUCCCGGAAUUAUUUGGGG
rnacentral:rRNA from 1 species